UACGUAGGGUGCGAGCGUUGUCCGGAAUUAUUGGGCGUAAAGGGCUCGUAGGCGGUUUGUCGCGUCGGGAGUGAAAACUCAGGGCUUAACUCUGGGCUUGCUUUCGAUACGGGCAGACUAGAGGUAUGCAGGGGAGAACGGAAUUCCUGGUGUAGCGGUGAAAUGCGCAGAUAUCAGGAAGAACACCGAUGGCGAAGGCAGUUCUCUGGGCCGUAACUGACGCUGAGGAGCGAAAGCGUGGGGAGCGAACAGG
rnacentral:rRNA from 1 species